rnacentral:lncRNA from 1 species
GGAUUUAGUUCCCACUUGCAACCUUGUUCUGUCACGAACCUUUCGAUCUUUCCAAGCUUCAUAUCGUUGAAAGCAUCCUCUAACUCCGAUUUCCCUCCGAUGAAGUUCGUCCCUCGAUUGCAACGAAGUAGUGCCGCCUGGCCUCGUAGUGCGAAGAAGCGCCUGAGAGCACAGAUGAAGGCACUUGCAUCCAUGGACUCUAGGACCUCGAUAUGUAUCGCUCUGCUUGCAAGACAGGUGAAUACCAGACCCCAACGCUUCGACUUGGCCGCACCGCCUCUAGUUUUCCUCGUAUGUACUUCCCAUGGACCGAACACGUCAAAACCGACGUUGGUGAAGGGGGGUCCAACCUCCAUUCUGUCUGCAGGUAGGUCGGCCAUCUGCUGCUCUAAAGGUCGGCCCCGUAAUUUUUUGCAAGUCACGCAGGAAUGUAUUUCUUUCGAUACAACUCGGUAUCCUCCAACUAUCCAAUAGCCAGCUUGGCGAACCGCGCCCCGGGUGAUGGACCUCCCUUGAUGAUGCACUUUACUGUGGUGGUGUCGUACAACCAGGUUGGAUACGUGGUCGUUGCGUGGCAAGAUGAUGGGGUAUUUCUCUCCUAACUCGAACUCCGCUCGCCGCAGACGUCCGCCAACGCGGAGUAUUCCAUUGCUAUGUGAUGUGUGAUAUCGGUAUCGAUUUUGUUAUAGGGGUGUAGAAAAACUGUAUUUUGACAGGCAUCUAGUGCCGAAGACAAACUUCUAGAUGGAUUUAUUGCAUGAAACUUUGCACACUUGAUGAAUUUGCCAAUUCAAGUAUUAUUCUAAAAUUUCAGAGCAAUCGAGUUAAUAGAAGUAUGUGAUGUGUGAUAUCGGUAUCGAUUUUGUUAUAGGGGUGUAGAAAAACUGUAUUUUGACAGGCAUCUAGUGCCGAAGACAAACUUCUAGAUGGAUUAAUUGCAUGAAACUUUGCACACUUGAUUAAUUUGCCAAUUCAAGCAUUAUUCUAAAAUUUCAGAGCAAUCGAGUUAAUAGAAGUAUGUGAUGUGUGAUAUCGGUAUCGAUUUUGUUAUAGGGGUGUAGAAAAACUGUAUUUUGACAGGCAUCUAGUGCCGAAGACAAACUUCUAGAUGGAUUUAUUGCAUGAAACUUCAGUUCCAAUUCAGAAAAACAUCCCAGAUUUAAUUAAAGCUGCUUCACCAGCCAUCGCAAGGCGACUGCAACGCAAAGCUCUGUAUUUUCCCUAUAUACACAUGUCACAGUUAAAAUGGGCGUAUACCUGUUCUGAUUGUCGAAUAUCCUCGUCAACAUCCUCAUCAAGCAAGUCGUCUAAACCCGCUUCAUCACCAGCAACAUCGAGGAACGGCUUCAAAGCGAUAGCUUCGCGCACUUCGGUAUACAGCUCAUAGUAAGAAACAAGAUCACCUUCACGCUUCGUCAUCUCAAACUUCGACCCUGGAAACACAAAUUGAAGAACAUGCUCCGUUAGUGCUUCAUUGCGACCUGUCGUAUAUAAAUGAAAAAGCUUAAUCCGUCAAUGGCAAAUGUAAGUCUUCAGAAAUUAAGAGGAAACCUAAAAAUUCGAACAGCUACGUACCUGCUGCAUGCAUGUAUUUUGUUGUUGAUCCCAAUCUCGAGAUGUAGCUGUUGAUUUGCUC